rnacentral:rRNA from 1 species
UACGUAGGGGGCAAGCGUUGUCCGGAUUUAUUGGGUGUAAAGAGCGUGUAGGCGGCCAGGUAGGUCAGCUGUGAAAACUCGAGGCUCAACCUCGAGACGUCGGUUGAAACCACCUGGCUAGAGUCCGGAAGAGGAGAGUGGAAUUCCUGGUGUAGCGGUGAAAUGCGCAGAUAUCAGGAAGAACACCCGUGGCGAAGGCGGCUCUCUGGGACGGUACUGACGCUGAGACGCGAAAGCGUGGGGAGCGAACAGG